CUGAGUGCGGGUUCUUCGCGAGCCCAACCUCCCACCCGUGUCUACCAUACUUUUGUUGCUUUGGCGGGCCCACCGGGGCUGUCCUGGUCGCCGGGGGGUCGUUUGACCCCCGGGCCCGCGCCCGCCGAAGCGCUUUUGAACCCUAUUGUGAACAGUAUGUCUGAGUGGGAUGGCUAAAUUAUUA
rnacentral:misc_RNA from 1 species